rnacentral:lncRNA from 1 species
GUCAGUGAUGUAGUGAAAGUGGAUUUAACACAAUCAAGUACUACAAAUACUCCUUCAGGAAAUGAUAACCGAGAAAUGGAGAAAGAGAGAAAUCACUAUGUCUCAUACAUGUCUUCACUAAGUACGGUUUCUGUCACAGAGGAUCAGCUGCAUAAGCGAAGUCCACCCCCAGAAACUAUAAGAUCUAAACUAACUACUUCAGUAGAUACUCAGAAGACAAAAUCCAGUUCUUCACCUGAAGUUUUUAAACCCAAGGUCACUCACUCUCCUGAUUCUGUAAAGUCUCGGGCUGCUUAUGGGAACAGUCAGGCCGCUGGUGAGCGAAGGCAGGCGAGUAAAGCGGAGCACGAGUUAUCCAGAGGUAGUUUCCAUGCCGCCCCGACUCGAGGCAGCGCUCUGGAAACUACAAAGAGCCCUCUAAUCAUUGAUAAAAACGAGCACUUCACGGUCUAUAGGGACCCUGCGCUUAUUGGAUCAGAAGCAGGAGCUAAUCACAUUUCACCCUUCUUGAGCCAGCAUCCUUUCCCUCUUCAUUCCUCAUCCCACAGAACCUGUUUAAACCCAGGUAGCCAUCACCCUGCCUUAACGCCAGGACCCCACUUACUAGCUGGGUCAUCUAGUCAAACUCCAUUACCCACCAUUAACACUCACCCUCUCACUAGUGGUCCACACCAUCCUGUCCAUCACCCUCAUUUACUUCCCACUGUGUUACCUGGAGUGCCUACUGCCUCUUUACUGGGUGGCCACCCGCGCCUGGAGAGUGCUCACACAGGCAGCUUGAGCCAUUUAGCACUAGCUCACCAGCAGCAGCAGCUGCUACAGCACCAGUCACCUCAUC